GUGGUUAAUGAUGUUGCUCUUUUUUCCCCGUCUUAACGACCAUGGUGAUUCCUCUGAAAAUAAGCCAAUUUCUCUGAAACCAC
ensembl:snoRNA